rnacentral:misc_RNA from 1 species
UUGCAAUGAAAAAAAUUUGCCUAAGAAAUUUUGAUACGCUGGCUGUUUGCUCUUGUAAACGGUUGGUUAGAUUUCAAUGCACUUAAGGUAGCAUUACACAUGAUUUGAAAAUUUAUCAAUAUCGUGGUAGCUCCGUGAGUAUACGCAUUAAAAAAACUAAAAUGUAAUUUAUUUUGCAUUAUCAUUUG